CGAUCAACGACAACCAGAGAGGAAUCCUUGCCAGAAGCGUCACCCAGAUGAUGUCUCAUGGGAUGAACUCUCUGCCAACGUUGUCGGGGAAGAAACCAAAGGGCAGAGAACCCGACAGAGAGCAAGAAAUGCAUCGAGAGCAGAAUGUUGCCGACAAUCAGCUCCCGAUCACGAACCUAGAUAAAGCUUUUGAGGUAGUGCAAACGCGGCAGCACCGGACACCUCUCACCACUAUCACCUCC
rnacentral:lncRNA from 1 species